UACGAAGGGGACUAGCGUUGUUCGGAAUUACUGGGCGUAAAGCGCGCGUAGGCGGAUCGCUAAGUCAGGGGUGAAAUCCCAGGGCUCAACCCUGGAACUGCCUUUGAUACUGACGAUCUGGAGAUCGGGAGAGGUUGGUGGAAUUCCGAGUGUAGAGGUGAAAUUCUUAGAUAUUCGGAGGAACACCAGAAGCGAAGGCGGCCAACUGGCCCGAUACUGACGCUGAGGCGCGAAAGCGUGGGGAGCAAACAGG
rnacentral:rRNA from 1 species